UAGUGUUCAUCGUGGUCAUCAGAUGGCACCAGGAGAAAUGGAGCCCAUGGCCAGUGUGAGUCGUAGCAGUGCAGGAGGGGAGACCCUGAAGGAGAGAGCCCGCCUAAGUUGAUGUCUGCAGAUUGAAUUUCCAGAGGCUUAGGAGGUGGAAGUUUCUCCA
rnacentral:lncRNA from 1 species